rnacentral:rRNA from 1 species
UGGCCAGACUCCUACGGGAGGCAGCAGUGAGGAAUAUUGGUCAAUGGCCGGAAGGCUGAACCAGCCAAGCCGCGUGAAGGACGAAGGUGCCAAGCCUUGUAAACUUCUUUUGUCAAGGGACAAAAUCAGGCUCGAGAGCCUGACCGAGGGUACUUGAAGAAAAAGCAUCGGCUAACUCCGUGCCAGCAGCCGCGGUAAUACGGAGGAUGCGAGCGUUAUCCGGAUUUAUUGGGUUUAAAGGGGGCGUAGGCGGGCGGUUAAGUCAGCGGGAAAAGCCCGGGGCGCAACCCCGGCGUGCCGUUGAAACUGGCGUUCGUGAGUGGGCGAGAAGUAUGCGGAAGGCGUGGUGUAGCGGUG